AUUGAACGCUGGCGGCAUGCCUUACACAUGCAAGUCGAACGGCAGCACGGGAGCAAUCCUGGUGGCGAGUGGCGAACGGGUGAGUAAUAUAUCGGAACGUGCCCAGUCGUGGGGAUAACGUAGCGAAAGCUACGCUAAUACCGCAUGCGAUCUAUGGAUGAAAGCGGGGGAUCGCAAGACCUCGCGCGAUUGGAGCGGCCGAUAUCAGAUUAGGUAGUUGGUGAGGUAAAGGCUCACCAAGCCGACGAUCUGUAGCUGGUCUGAGAGGACGACCAGCCACACUGGGACUGAGACACGGCCCAGACUCCUACGGGAGGCAGCAGUGGGGAAUUUUUGGGACAAUGGGGGCAACCCUGAUCCAGCAAUGCCGCGUGAGUGAAGAAGG
rnacentral:rRNA from 1 species